rnacentral:sRNA from 1 species
GCCGAAAUACAUACCAUCGAUAAAAGGGGCUGCUGAAUUGACCACGAGUCUAUGCUAGUUAUGUUUAACUACUCCAUAUAUGUGUUCUGUUUAACGAGCAACGUUUUAAAAAACGAAUGAUUUUGAUACGCAGUAGCUGAACAAAGCUCCACAAGUCUGUCGCUCAAUUUAAGAAUGCCUGUUCCCGCUUCGAUCGGAUCUGUGUUCGCUGCUCCUUUCACGUCAAUUUUUAACCUACCGCCGAGGUACAAACACCAACCCCUGGGCCCUGGAGCUGUUGUCUCCCUCUGAAGCACCCAGUUCGCCGAAGGAUCUCCAGCGUUGCACAACCCGUCAAGCACGACAAAUGGGCGCCAGUUUAGCUACUACUUGUUGUCCCAUGGAUGGCUAUUUAUGGGCUAUAUUACCGCUUUCUAACCUCUUUGAGCAACUCCUGUUUGCCUGUUGAUGUUGGAAAGCGGGGAAUGAGAGAGAAGCGAGAGAAGAGAGGACAUAUAACGGAGAACUGAGGUUGUCUGCAGUAUUAUCACCGAAUACCAUGCUGUGGUCACCAUUCUUCAGUUAACUAGCCUAUGUUUCCUAGAGACAUCAUCUGCCUUUGCUAGCUGACUCGUUUUCAUACAAACCUUAUCUUGAAUGAUAAUAACUUGAAUAUAAUACUGUAUCUACGAAAGGUCAAUCAUUGUAAAUACCUUCUUGUCAUAUAAUAUUCGACAUUCGUUGCUUUACUCCGUAUGCAUUGCCGUGGUCAUGGGCUCUCCAGAAAUCAGAAGCAUUGGCGGCGACCGCUUCUCACAAAAUGUUUAAAUA